GGUCACUGCCUGGAAUUGAACUCGGAAUCUUGGGAUAAAUUUUUAACAACAAAAUCUUGUAUGGAGCCCCAAAGGUCAUAGCAGCUCCAACUGAGUUAAAGUGGGUUAAAGUAUGACAGGGGAUAGGAACAGAUGUCUUGCAGUAAAGGAGACAGAUGGUUUUCCCCAGUUGUAAAAGGGAGAAGAUAGUGAUGUUUGAGCAUACCUUCAAGUUACAGGAAGGUGAACAUAAGAGAAGUGAUGAAAAGGACUGGCUUAGAUAACAGAGUCUGAUUUCACUGCUAUUUCUAGAAGUUUGGCACGCUUGUUGGCUUGUGCUCGUAGUUCUUAUAAAACAAAACACCAAUCUGAAUACAAUAAAAUCUUCUGUCUGACAUUCCAUCAUCCCAAACAUCUUUGAUGAUUCAGGAACCAAAACUCUAAUUAAUAAGUAGAUUCCAACUGAAUCACUUGAUAUUCUUGGCAGAACCAUGAAAGGAAUGGAAUAAUUCCAUCACUUGUCAGAAUAUCAAUUACUCUUCUCAUUAGUCACCAUUGUUGUGAUGAGAAUGCAAACGAGAAACUUCAUAACUGACAUGACCUUGAAAUGGAACCAAAAUUGGUUAAUGUCUCCAGAUUGUUUGGCUGUAAUAUUGAAUCAUGAUGUCCUAUUUAGGAAACGGUUUUCUCACUGGUGAAGUCAUUCAUUGAAAUAUUUAUAAAAUUAAAAGAAAUUUGAAGAUGCAUGUUUAAUAUU